rnacentral:rRNA from 1 species
GGCCGUAUCAGCCUGAAGGCGCCUGAUCUCGUCUGAUCUCGGAAGCUAAGCAGGGUCGGGCCUGGUUAGUAUCUUGGAUGGGAGACCACCUGGGAAUCCCGGGUGCU